rnacentral:rRNA from 1 species
CCUACGGGUGGCAGCAGUGGGGAAUAUUGGACAAUGGGGGGAACCCUGAUCCAGCCAUGCCGCGUGUGUGAAGAAGGCCCUCGGGUUGUAAAGCACUUUCAGUGAGGAAGAACGCCUGGUGGUUAAUACCCAUCAGGAAAGACAUCACUCACAGAAGAAGCACCGGCUAACUCCGUGCCAGCAGCCGCGGUAAUACGGAGGGUGCGAGCGUUAAUCGGAUUUACUGGGCGUAAAGCGCGCGUAGGUGGCUUGAUAAGCCGGUUGUGAAAGCCCCGGGCUCAACCUGGGAACGGCAUCCGGAACUGUCAAGCUAGAGUGCAGGAGAGGAAGGUAGAAUUCCCGGUGUAGCGGUGAAAUGCGUAGAGAUCGGGAGGAAUACCAGUGGCGAAGGCGGCCUUCUGGACUGACACUGACACUGAGGUGCGAAAGCGUGGGUAGCAAACAGGAUUAGAUACCCUUGUAGUC